GACGAACGCUGGCGGCGUGCUUAACACAUGCAAGUCGAACGCUGAAGCUCAGCUUUUGUUGGGUGGAUGAGUGGCGAACGGGUGAGUAACACGUGAGUAACCUGCCCCCUUCUUUGGGAUAACGCCCGGAAACGGGUGCUAAUACUGGAUAUUCACUGGUCUUCGCAUGGGGGGUGGUGGAAAGGGUUUUUCUGGUGGGGGAUGGGCUCGCGGCCUAUCAGCUUGUUGGUGGGGUGAUGGCCUACCAAGGCUUUGACGGGUAGCCGGCCUGAGAGGGGGACCGGUCACAUUGGGACUGAGAUACGGCCCAGACUCCGACGGGAGGCAGUAGUGGGGAAUAUUGCACAAUGGGCGCAAGCCUGAUGCAGCGACGCCGCGUGAGGGAUGGAGGCCUUCGGGUUGUGAACCUCUUUCGCUAAUGGUCAAGCCGCAACAAUGGUUGUGGUGAGGGUAGUGGGUAAAGAAGCGCCGGCUAACUACGUG
rnacentral:rRNA from 1 species